CUGAGAACUUGCCCUUUGGGGUAGAUCUCCCACCCUCUGUCUACAUACUUUGUUGCUUUGGCAGGCCUGCCUCUGUGCUACUGGCCUUGGCUAGUUAGUGCCUGCCAGAGAAUCAAAACCCAGAGUCAUUUAUUGUCUGAGUAAUAUUUAAUAAUUA
rnacentral:misc_RNA from 1 species